GCGUUAUCUCCUCCCGGUGAGAACGAACCGCAGUGUCCACCGGCGAGGAGCCAGCCCUGUCCCGAUCAGAGAAAGACGACGAGGAUACCUGGGAGCGGGCGGCGGCCGGGCUGGGCCGCGCCGGUGCGGGCUGGCGACUCUGCUCCUCCGCUUGCUGCUGUUUCUGGGAACUGGGUGCCAGCGCUGAGGGGCUUCCAGCCGACAGGGACCCCCUUCCCCGGCUCCCCUGCCCACCCUGCCGGGGAGGGCGGAAGAUGCCGGUGAAGAAGAAGAGAAAAUCUCCUGGGGUGGCAGCAGCAGUAGCGGAAGACGGAGGCCUCAAAAAGUGUAAAAUCUCCAGGUACCAUCUCCCCCCACCCUUCAAGGUUCCCUCCUCCCUCCUUUGCUGGACAACUGGAGGAAAAGGAGUCGGGCCCGGCCUGCCGGGCUGGGGCUGGAGACAGAUCCCAACCCCCUGCUAGACUAAUAAGUGGAGAGGAACA
rnacentral:sRNA from 1 species